GCGCCGUUAGCUCAGCUGGAUAGGGCAAUUGCCUUCUAAGCAAUCGGUCACUGGUUCGAAUCCAGUAUGGUGCACCA
rnacentral:tRNA from 1 species